AAAGUCAGAUCUGAGAUAUUCAGGAGGCGGACUAAAGUGAGUGUGACCAGGAGGAGAGAGAGAUUUGGGCAGAGAACGCUAAGCUUCAGGAGUGAGGGAAAGCUGGAGCAGCUGAGAAAACAGAGUUGAUCCUAGGCCAGACUGGAGUGGACUAGACUGACUUGUCAAACAAGAUGUCUUGGAUAGAAUAAGGCAUAGUGGGAACUGGAUAAUUGGCACCAUAGGGUCCACUGGAGGUCGUUGCCCAGUAGGUAGACUAUGGCCAGGUGGAGAACACUGAGCACAGGAAGAUGGACGCUCACUAGAAGGGCUGGACCAGAGUGGGCAAUAGGCCAGGAGAUACCACCACAAUGGUAUGAAGUGGGAAGAGGAAAAUGCUGGGUCCGGUAGGGGGAGCCGGAAAACGGAACUCAGUGGGUAGACUCUGAGCUGGAGAACAGCAUGCUGGGUAGAGUGGGGUCAGGAGGGGAAUGUGGUACACAGGGUCACGAAGGUGAGCUGGACAAACAGUAAGGUCUGGGUGCACAAGCAGCGCCUGUAGAGUGGGGUGCUCUAGGAACAAUGGAGGAGAAGAAGCGGGGCGAGUGGAGGAAAGAUGUGUGUUGGUAGAACAGACAGCGGCAGUAGGAAAAGGAGGCCGCGGGUCUGUGAGACGAGGGACAGAGCACACCGAGGGAGUCAAGGUAAUGCGAUGGCAAUGGCGGAACUAUUUGAGCUGCAGGACAACAGAGUCAAGGGGCUGGCAAGAGAGCUCACGGAAGACAGUGAUGAUGUCAGCUGCCAUAGACCCUGAGGACUAGGUUGGGUUGAAGAAGAUGAAGACUGACAUACGAUGAUGAACCAUGUCUAAACCAUCAUGUGAUGCUGCGGGGUGGGGUGGGAAGUGAAGUCAUUUUGAAUAUCCAAUCAUCAGGAGAAUGGUGAACCAGAGCCUCACCCCAAAUUCUUAAAGGAACUCACCAAGGCCCAGAGGCGUGCAGCGUUCAGUGGGAAACAAGGCCACAAACCAACCCCAAAUUGAACAAAGCAUCAAUUCUUCUUUAAAGCAGGUGUAGAUGAGGAUGCGCAGCAACCUCCGGGUUAUUUAACCCUGACGCUGCUGCUUGGAUAACAUGUGAGAGGUUCCUAGGUUUGGGAUUAUGUGGUUACCUAGAGCGGACGACAGGCAGUCAGGGACGGGCCUCAACCAGGUUCUUCUUUAAGGCACUGACACCGACUCUCUCCUCAAGGAUCCCGGGCACCACCCUCAGAGCUUACCAACAGCCAGCCCCAUCUAAAAGAAUGGCAAAACUCCUAUCAUCCGCCGACACAGCAAGGAAAUGAAAAGAGGAAAGACCAACUCUUCCUAGACAUGAAACUGGUACUCUGACUGGUCACUGCAGCUCUGUGCACCUGGAGCAUAAUCAAAAGCCUUAAUGCAAUUAAAUUUUUACU